GGUCCCAUCGUCUAGUGGUCCAGGACACUGCCCUCUCACGGCGGAAACACGGGUUCGAAACCCGUUGGGACUA
rnacentral:tRNA from 1 species